AGUCCUGAAGUGUUUCACGUUAGAUUGCAAAUCUAAAAAAGUAGGUAGACGCCUACCGGGGCUU
rnacentral:tRNA from 1 species